ensembl:Y_RNA Y_RNA Y RNA
GGCUGGUCUGAAGGUAGUGUGUUGCCUCAAUUGAUUGUUCACAGAUCAAACUCCUUGUUCUACUCUUUCCCCCUUCUCACUACUGCACUUGACUAGUCUUAA